AUACCAGCAAACCAGUGGACCCUGAAGCAGAAGAGUGUCUCCAAGCUGGUGUUACUCUGGAAUAUAGAAAAGACUGAGACUGAAGGGCUAAAAAGGAGAAAGGUCUGAUCUGAGGAGGAAGGGAGCUGGAAACACAAUGUCCUUUGGAAGAGGAACAUAACUCCUGCUGGCCUUGUCCGUGGAGAUGGGGACACCGAGUUCCCCUUGCCGCCCCAUCCUGAACCCCACCGUGCGUGCUGGGUGAAGCCUUGGCAAUAGCGCAGCCCGGAGAUGGAGUGGCCCCCACCUUGUCAGACCAUCCAGACCAC